UACAUAAUAUACGCCAGUAAUAUCCAUUUACAUUUUUCGCCAAAACCCUAGCAUUUGCCUUAACACAUUUUUAUCGCCUCACACUCUCUGUUUUCACUUAGUUUCUGAUUCUUCACUUUCAUUACUUCAAACUCUCGCAGCGAUGAGACCUCCAAGAGGCCGUGGUGUUGGUGGGUUUAGGGGCAGAGGUGAUGGUGGAAGAGGGAGAGGAAGAGGAGGUGGUGGAAGAGGUGGUGAUAGGGGCGGUAGUGCCAUGAAAUCCCGCAGCAGACUGGUGUUUGAUUGUUUCUGUUUUCUUAUAGUUCGAUGGAACAAAAAGAUUCUCCAACUUUAGUUGACAAAAACUUUCCUCUUUCCUCUUUUCUCUUGUCACUGUGAAAUCAUUCUUUCACUAGAUCCAUAGAAGUUGUUUAUUAACUAGAACUUCGUUUUCUGUAUUCUUGUUUACAAUUAUGGCUAUCGGUUCUUGCUGUAAUGUUAUAGAGGAAAAAGGUAGGUUCUAUUUUAUCUAUUUUCUUCAUUGUGUUAAACCAGAAAUAUUAUAAGGAAUGCAGGAUGAAAUAUUAUCUACUGAAGUAAUAAAAUAGAGUUCAUUAGUUUUCAUUCUUAUUGAGAAUCAAAUAUGUGAGUUGAAUCCUAAUGCUUUCAGGUUGUGAAUUAUGUUGUGUAAAUUAUACUAGGGUUCCAAGUUCCAACACCAGAAGUCCAAUGUUGCUGUUGUUGAUUUAUGGAGGAGCUUUUCUAAUUAUGCUGGAAAUGGCAAUGGCAAUGACAAGGAAAAUGUUGCUGGGGUUUUGGAGACCACUGGGGAUCUUAAACCCAAAUUCCAAGGGGAAAAACGAGCUAUACAGAGAAUUGGGAGAACCCUGUCAUGUUGGAUGCUCCCGUCUCUAGAGGUGUUGUAGCUGCUGAAGCUGGUUCACUUACUUUCAUGGUUGGUGGCUCUGAAGAUGUGUAUCUUGCUGCCAAAUCCUUACUCCUCUCGAUGGGAAAAGAGGAACUGCAAGAGGCUAUUGAUUUUAUAUCUCUGUUCGAGUAAAAUGGGCUUUGUGCUUCAGUCAGAGCUGCCUUGGUUCUUAGUGGUAGUAUGGGUUCUAUCUAAUUCAAAAAUGAGAAAGAAAAGGAAAGAAUGGGCAGAUAAUGUAUCUUUCAAAAAUGAUGAAAGUGCCACGAGUAGAGUCAAAACUAAGAGUGUUUUGUUUCAAGAUUCAGUUCCGAACUCAGGUUUCUGAAUUUAAAAGGAGCUUAAAUACUGUAAAUUCUGUAUGUAAUGAGGUACAAAAUUUCCUUAAAUUGAAGGAUCUCAUGAAGAAAAUUCUCUAUCUGGGAAAUACAUUGAACCAAGGAACUGCGAGGGGUUUGAGUUUUUGUUGGAUACAUGGUCCAGGAUUAGUUGAAUUCAUGCAUAGUGACGACUUGUUUAAGCUAACUGUUUAUCUUAAAGUGUGCAUUCUAUCAUUAUUUUGUUCUAUUUGUAUUUUGUUAGAUUUCUGGUGUAGUAUGAUAAGUGCGGUAUUUUGUUUGGCGGGAUGUAUUUAUAUCAUAGAUUAUUCUUCUUCUUAAUAUUUUGAUAAUGAAUUUUAAUUUUUUUAUA